GGCUCAGGAUGAACGCUAGCGGCAGGCUUAACACAUGCAAGUCGAGGGGCAUCGGGAGUAGCAAUACUUGCCGGCGACCGGCGCAAGGGUGCGUAACGCGUGAGCAACAUGCCCGUAUCAGGGGGAUAAUCCAUGGAAACGUGGUCUAAUACCCCAUAGUAAUUAUGUAAGGCAUCUUAUAUAAUUUAAAGCUUUGGUGGAUACGGAUUGGCUCGCGUGACAUUAGCUGGAUGGUAAGGUAACGGCUUACCAUGGCUACGAUGUCUAGGGGUUCUGAGAGGAAGGUCCCCCACACUGGAACUGAGACACGGUCCAGACUCCUACGGGAGGCAGCAGUGAGGAAUAUUGGACAAUGGAUGGAAAUCUGAUCCAGCCAUGCCGCGUGCAAGGAAGACGGCCCUAUGGGUUGUAAACUGCUUUUGUAUGGGAGCAAUAAGGGCUACGUGUAGUCCGAUGAGAGUACCAUACGAAUAAGCACCGGCUAACUCCGUGCCAGCCGCAGC
rnacentral:rRNA from 1 species